GCGACCAGACCUGCCCGGGGGCGAUCAGCCGCCGUUCUCGGCGGUGCACUCGCCCGCGAUCAGGCCAGCAUCGGUUUGGGCGGCCGGACAAAGGCCGUGGGAAYGUAGCUCCCUUCGGGGAGUCUUAUAGCCCGCGGCGCAAUGCGACCAGCCCGGAUCGAGGACCGCGCUUCGGCUAGGAUGCUGGCGUAAUGGUUGCAAGCGACCCGUCUUGAAACACGGACCAAGGAGUCUAACAUCUAUGCGAGUGUUUGGGUGUCAAACCCAUGCGCGUAAUGAAAGUGAACGGAGGUGAGAACCCGCCAGGGCGCAUCAUCGACCGAUCCUGAUGUCUUCGGAUGGAUUUGAGUACGAGCAUAGCUGUUGGGACCCGAAAGAUGGUGAACUAUGCCUGAAUAGGGUGAAGCCAGAGGAAACUCUGGUGGAGGCUCGCAGCGGU
rnacentral:rRNA from 1 species